rnacentral:rRNA from 1 species
AGAGUUUGAUCCUGGCUCAGGAUGAACGCUAGCGACAGGCCUAACACAUGCAAGUCGAGGGGUAACAUGAGUGCUUGCACUUGAUGACGACCGGCGCACGGGUGCGUAACGCGUAUGCAACUUACCUUGUACUGGGGAAUAGCCCGUGGAAACGCGGAUUAAUGUCCCAUAACACUACAAUUUCGCAUGGAAAAGUGGUUAAAGUUCCGACGGUACAAGAUGGGCAUGCGUGACAUUAGCUAGUUGGUGAGGUAAGGGCUCACCAAGGCGACGAUGUCUAGGGGUUCUGAGAGGAAGGUCCCCCACACUGGUACUGAGACACGGACCAGACUCCUACGGGAGGCAGCAGUGAGGAAUAUUGGUCAAUGGGCGCAAGCCUGAACCAGCCAUGUCGCGUGCAGGAAGACUGCCCUACGGGUUGUAAACUGCUUUUGUAUGGGAAGAAACGUUGGUACGUGUACCAAUUUGCCGGUACCAUACGAAUAAGGAUCGGCUAACUCCGUGCCAGCAGCCGCGGUAAUACGGAGGAUCCAAGCGUUAUCCGGAUUUAUUGGGUUUAAAGGGUGCGUAGGCGGUAGAAUAAGUCAGUGGUGAAAUCCUGCAGCUUAACUGUAGAACUGCCAUUGAUACUGUUUUACUUGAGUGUAAUUGAGGUAGGCGGAAUGUGUUGUGUAGCGGUGAAAUGCAUAGAUAUAACACAGAACACCGAUUGCGAAGGCAGCUUACUAAGUUAUAACUGACGCUGAUGCACGAAAGCGUGGGUAGCGAACAGGAUUAGAUACCCUGGUAGUCCACGCCGUAAACGAUGAUUACUCGCUGUAGGCAAUACACCGUCUGUGGCUGAGCGAAAGCAUUAAGUAAUCCACCUGGGGAGUACGUUGGCAACAAUGAAACUCAAAGGAAUUGACGGGGGCCCGCACAAGCGGAGGAACAUGUGGUUUAAUUCGAUGAUACGCGAGGAACCUUACCUGGACUUAAAUGUAGAUUGACGUAUCCAGAGAUGGAUAUUUCUUCGGACAAUUUACAAGGUGCUGCAUGGUUGUCGUCAGCUCGUGCCGUGAGGUGUCGGGUUAAGUCCCAUAACGAGCGCAACCCCUGUUGUUAGUUACCAGCACAUCAUGGUGGGGACUCUAACAAGACUGCCGGUGUAAACCGCGAGGAAGGUGGGGAUGACGUCAAAUCAGCACGGCCCUUACGUCCAGGGCUACACACGUGUUACAAUGGCCGGUACAGAGGGCAGCUACUUGGUGACAAGAUGCGAAUCUCAAAAACCGGUCUCAGUUCGGAUCGAAGUCUGCAACCCGACUUCGUGAAGCUGGAUUCGCUAGUAAUCGCAUAUCAGCCAUGAUGCGGUGAAUACGUUCCCGGGCCUUGUACACACCGCCCGUCAAACCAUGGAAGUCGAGGGUACCUGAAGUCUAUUACCGUAAGGAGCGGCCUAGGGUAAAACUGAUAACUAGGGUUAAGUCGAAACAAGGUA